rnacentral:rRNA from 1 species
UACGGAGGGUGCAAACGUUGCUCGGAAUCAUUGGGCGUAAAGCGCACGUAGGCGGUCUGCUAUGUCGGGUGUGAAAUCCUACGGCUCAACCGUGGAACUGCAUCCGAUACUGGGGAACUUGAGGACGGUAGAGGUCGGUGGAAUUCCAGGUGUACCGGUGAAAUGGGCAGAUAUCGGGAGGAACACCAAUUGCGAAGGCAGCUUGCUGGGACGAUACUGACGCUGAGGCGCGAAAGCGUGGGGAGCAAACAGG